rnacentral:rRNA from 1 species
GCUAGCGACGUGCCUAAGGUAUGCAAGUCGAAUGCCGAUUUAUCGGCAUGGCAGACGGCUGAGUAAUACAUGGGAAUCUACCUCAAACUCGAGAAUAGCCCAUCGAAAGGUGGUGUAAUACUCGAUAGUUCCGUUUACGGUAAAGCUCCGGCGGUUUGAGAUGAGCCCAUGUCCUAUCAGGUUGUUGGUGGGGUAAUUGCCUACCAAGCCUAUGACGGGUAGCUGGUUUGAGAGGAUGAUCAGCCAGACUGGGACUGCGAUACGGCCCAGACUCCUACGGGAGGCAGCAACUAGGAAUCAUGCGCAAUGGACGAAAGUCUGACGCUGCGACGUCGCGUGAGGGAUGAAGGUCUUCGGAUCGUAAACCUCUUUUAUCUGGGAACAAGUUCUGAGUGUACCAGAUGAAUAAGUGCCUGCCAACCACGUGCCAGAAGCAUCGGUAAUGCGUGGGGCACGAGCGUUAUCCGGAUUUACUGGGCGUAAAGAGAUGCGCAGGCGCCUUUUUAAGUCACUUGUAAAAUCUCCCCGCUCAACGGGGAAACUGCAAGUGAUACUGAAUUGGCUGAGUCAAGUAGAGGAGAGGGGAAUUCCUGGUGGAGCGGUUAAAUGCGUUGAUAUCAGGAGGAAUACCAAGUGCGAAGGCACCUCUCUGGACUUGUACUGACGCUAAGGCUCGAAAGUGUGGGGAGCAAAACGGAUUAGAUACCCGUGUAGUCCACACUGUAAACGAUCCCUGCUAGAUGUUUGC